rnacentral:lncRNA from 1 species
CGACGAGCAGAAAAUAUUUACCUUGAACAGAUUUCAUGAUAUACGGCCACAAAGGGCGUUGACCGGCCAUGACCAGAAAUUCUGGGCAGCCCAGAAUAUGAUGAACACGUUCUGACAACAUAUUCUGAUGCUUAGAUAUCCCUCAUGUUGUAUGAUUUGGUCCCGAAAUGGUUAUGACCAUGUACUCCUACAUACAUACUACAAGAUUUAAUCAAUAGAAUGUCCAGAAAGAGUGUAGAUUAAAAAUUAAAGAAGUUCAAAGUAGGUACCCUUGUGCACUGACUGUCAGUGUUCUUGAGCCUCAAGAACACCUAUCGCGACAGAAACUGUCGCUAAAGCCUUUAGCGAUGGAUUUAAU